rnacentral:rRNA from 1 species
UACAGAGGUCCCAAGCGUUGUUCGGAUUCACUGGGCGUAAAGGGUGCGCAGGUGGGUUGGCAAGUUCGAUGUGAAAGCCCCGGGCUUAACCCGGGAAUGGCAUUGGAUACUGUUGAUCUGGAGGGUCGGAGGGGGGACUGGAAUUCUUGGUGUAGCAGUGAAAUGCGUAGAUAUCAAGAGGAACACCAGUGGCGAAGGCGGCGCUCUGGGCCGGUACUGACACUGAGGAGCGAAAGCGUGGGUAGCAAACAGG